CCUACGGGUGGCAGCAGUGGGGAAUAUUGCGCAAUGGCCGAAAGGCUGACGCAGCGACGCCGCGUGAGGGAUGAAGGCCUUCGGGUUGUAAACCUCUGUCGGGAGGGACGAAAUUCUGACGGUACCUCCAAAGGAAGCACCGGCUAACUCUGUGCCAGCAGCCGCGGUAAUACAGAGGGUGCAAGCGUUGUCCGGAAUCACUGGGCGUAAAGGGCGCGUAGGCCGCCUGGUAAGUCGGGGGGGGAACGCUGGCGGCUCAACCGCAGCACUGCCUUCGAGACUGCCUGGCUCGAGCACAGUAGAGGCAGGUGGAAUUCCCGGUGUAGCGGUGGAAUGCGUAGAGAUCGGGAAGAACAUCGGUGGCGAAGGCGGCCUGCUGGGCUGUUGCUGACGCUGAGGCGCGACAGCGUGGGGAGCAAACAGGAUUAGAUACCCGAGUAGUC
rnacentral:rRNA from 1 species